rnacentral:rRNA from 1 species
UACGGGGGGAGCAAGCGUUGUUCGGAUUUACUGGGCGUAAAGAGCUCGUAGGCGGCUUGUCGCGUCGUCUGUGAAAUCCCGCGGCUCAAUCUGCGGGUCUGCAGUCGAUACGGGCAGGCUAGAGUUCGGUAGGGGAGACUGGAAUUCCUGGUGUAGCGGUGAAAUGCGCAGAUAUCAGGAGGAACACCGGUGGCGAAGGCGGGUCUCUGGGCCGAUACUGACGCUGAGGAGCGAAAGCGUGGGGAGCGAACAGG